CAUGUAGCUUCCUUCGGAAAUCCUUGCUACUCGAUGACUUUACCAAUUCUGAAGUAGCACAGCUGUUCAUUGAUACAAAAAUGGAGACUAUAAGAAAAUGGACGUGCAUUUGAUGUUAUCGCAUGCUAUAAUACUUCAAAGUUUUGACGUAUUUUCAAUUUGACUGUGUGGCACCACGUAACUACGUGAUACUAAUAGCUGAGCCGAACUGAACGAGCAUAGGUCGGCUAAAUGUUAGAAGAUACUCUCUAUCGAUCGUAGAUAUUGUCACCUGCGAUAUCGCGGUGAACGUUGAUAAAGGUAUUUAUUUUCAGAUAUUCUUCGGUAGAAAUGAAUGGAUAAGCUAUCCUAGAACUGCAGAUCAGCUUCGAUGAGCAAUCCGCAAACGAAUAUAAUCCAUUGAAUACGAGAGCAGCAUAAAGUUGAAAAAGUUUCGAACCGUCAGCCGAAUUACCACACCGAGUGGCCAAGAGUUAAUUUGGAGUAAUUGCGUUACGCGUUCACGGGGGUCACGUAAACGUUUUUCAUCAUCGUCUCGACGCGUAUCUGACCUAGACGUCAUUGAAUAAAGAAAUGGCUAAUUAAAACGUAAAUGACUGUGAUCAACAACGAGCUGACUCGACUUUAAGGACGCACAAAAGGUAGAUUUAAUUGACGCUCAUUUACUACUCAAAGAGAACAGGAUAUCACAGUAUUCAGCUACAGAUUAAAACCUGGACGACGAAAAGAGACGCUGACUCAACGAUAUGCGUCUCCGAUCGUGAAACGCAAUUUCUUCG